GACGAACGCUGGCGGCGCGCUUAAUACAUGCAAGUCGAACGGGAACCUCGGGCUUCGGCCUGGGGGGAGAGUGGCGAACGGGUGAGUAACACGUGAGGAACCUGCCCCGGAGACCGGGAUAACCCAGGGAAACUUGGGCUAAUACCGGAUGCCCUCGUCGGACCGCAUGAGUCGAUGAGGAAAUGGAUUCCGCUCCGGGAUGGCCUCGCGGCCUAUCAGCUUGUUGGUGAGGUAACGGCUCACCAAGGCGACGACGGGUAGCUGGUCUGAGAGGACGACCAGCCACACUGGGACUGAGACACGGCCCAGACUCCUACGGGAGGCAGCAGUAGGGAAUCUUGCUCAAUGGGCGAAAGCCUGAAGCAGCGACGCCGCGUGCGGGAUGAAGGCCCUCGGGUCGUAAACCGCUUUCAGCAGGAACGAAAUUGACGGUACCUGCAGAAGAAGCCCCGGCCAACUACGUGCCAGCAGCCGCGGUAAUAC
rnacentral:rRNA from 1 species